AUGAAGAUGCAGUUCCAAAAAGAAAACCACUUGGAAAGCUUUUUCUGUUAAUCCCAUCAUCAGCAAAACAUCCAUGAAGAAGAAGUACAAUCCCAAAAGCCAAUAAUAGUACAACUGUUUUCAAUCUCAACACCAACAUUUGUCUUACAAUAUGGGGAGUACAGGUUGGUUGUAUGUAUCUGAGUUUGAAUAAGAAAGUAGUGGUGGUAGACGGUGGCGCGUGAAGACUC
rnacentral:lncRNA from 1 species